UACGAAGGGUGCAAGCGUUACUCGGAAUUACUGGGCAUAAAGCGUGCGUAGGUGGUUCGUUAAGUCUGAUGUGAAAGCCCUGGGCUCAACCUGGGAAUUGCAUUGGAUACUGGCGGGCUAGAGUACGGUAGAGGGUGGCGGAAUUCCUGGUGUAGCAGUGAAAUGCGUAGAUAUCGGAAGGAACACCUGUGGCGAAAGCGGCUCACUGGACCAUAACUGACGCUGAGGCGCGAAAGCUAGGGGAGCAAACAGG
rnacentral:rRNA from 1 species